UUCUCGUCAGGGAGGCCUUUACACUGGGAGAAUUGGGAAGAAAGAAGUCUUUAUCCCAGGUUAAAAGACAGUCACCAAUAAAUACCAGAAUUCACAAUGUAAGCCCCAUAUAGAAAGCUGGGAAGCUUUGAUGACAAUAUUCAGGGGUGUGUGUGUGUGUGUGUGUGUGUGUGUGUGUACACUUGCAUCAGAGAUCAGUGUAAGGUGUUUUCCUCGGUUGAUUUCCACUUUUUUUUUCUCUUUUUCUUUCUUCGUUUCUUUGUUUUUUGGUUUUGUUGUUGUUGUUUUUGAGACAGCACCUCUAGCUGGGCCUGGAGCGGCUUACAGGUUUGGCUAGAGUUGCAAUGUAUGAAGACCACCAUGUCUACCUCCUCAGCCCUGGGUUAGAAGUAUGCAUCACCACACCCAGCUUUUAAAUGAGUGCUAGGAACCAAGAUCAGGUCCUGUUCAUGCACACGUGUUACCAACUGAGUUACCUUUCUAUUCCACAGGAAGACUGUUCUGAGGGCUUAAUUUAGCAUUUUUAAAUGAAAAUCUUAUUUUAAUGCCAAGAUAAGUCUUUUAAUGCCAAGAAAAGGUGAGUCACACAGCAUCUAUAGCAAAAACAAAAGAGUAUGAUGCUAAUAGAGACACCUGGAAAGAAGUCACAGAGCAGACACCAGAGUCACACAGCAUCUCCAGCAAAAACAAAGAGUGUGCUGCUAAUGGUAAUAACUAGAGAGAGGUCGCAGGACAGACACCAACUGCAAUGGAAGCAUGAAUGGAUAAAAUUGGUACACGCUGUAUUCAGGACUUGGCUGAUACUGGAGGGACUGCCUUCCUUAUGACUCAGCAGUUCCCAGAAAUUGUGAAUGAAUGGCUUACCUGCAAACAGACCUUCCAUAUUCAACCAUCCUUCCUGCAUAUGCCUGGCCUGCUCAUUUGGCCUUGUGCAUUCAUUCCCAUGAGAACCACGGGGAAUGCUUCUGCCUGUUUCCCCAGCUCCUGCCAUUUGACACAGGUAAGUUUUCUUGUGUAGCCCUCCCUGCUUGGCACUGUGCCUCUUGUGUCUGGGGUGUGUGUGUGUGUGUGUGUGUGUGUGUGUGUGUGUGUCAUUUUGAGUAUAAAAGCUAAUUUGCUGUGGUGGUCAUUUUUAUGUCUAUGUCUUAAAUAGAAAAAAAUAUCGGUAUCUAAUCUUGAGAUGAUUAUGUAUCUGAAAUAUUUACUAAAGAACAGUUUCCAAGUUUUAUUACUGUUUUUUAAAAGAUUUAUAUAUGUAUGGGCAUUUGGCCUGCAUGUAUACACAUAUGCCACCUGGGUGCCUGGUAUCCAAGAAGGUGCCAUUAAUCUAGAUCUGGAGUUAACAGUUGUGGGCCACCAGGUAGGUGUUGGGAAUCAAAGCUGGAUCCUCUGGAAGAGCAGUCUGUGCUCUUACCCUCUGAGCCACCCUGCAAGUUGUUCUAUGACUUCCACAUGUGCUCCCUGGCACGGACGUGCAUGUGUAUGUACACUAAAUAAAUGAAUGAGUGAAUAAACAAAAUGUAAAAAAUGCAUAUUGUUUUGAGCAAUGUUAUUUUUAUUUUUCACCCAUGAGAAUGUAAUGCAGCUGUAUGGGUCCCUUGCUAAAAGACUUCUGGAUGCUAGAUCUAGGAUCAUACACUGGGGAAGUGAGCUUAUAUCAAAGUGAGUAUUGGUACCACCCAUCCUGCUCUGAACUCUCUUCCCUGCCCCUGCCUGAGAACCAGCCGGGCUGUAGGCUCAUGCUGUGAAAUGUGUAAGAAGAGACUCCCAUUUUCUGCCCUUCGGGCUCUUAUUUCUGUCUUCACAGCCCCUGUUAUGCUGUUGUCUGUCUGUCCAUGGCAUUAAAAUUACAGCCUCAAGGAACCAUGUCUGUCUUGGUAUCCAGUAUCAUAUCUAAGACCUUUCAUUCACAAUUGACAGUAGUUUUAACAUCCAAGUCUUACAGUAGGUAAGACUGUCACAAUGAGACCUUAUUAUUAGUCAGUGUGUUACUGCAGGGUCUGAUGGACUCAGGCUGAACUAAAACUUUUAUAACUCUUUUAUGAUGUGUAAUGUAUAUCAACAGAAGAGCUGUUAUAGGAAGGCAAUUAAUGAAAAUGACUCAUCUCCAGAAUUGAGGCAUAUUAAAUGGCUUAAUAUUUUGGGAUGAUGCUAUGAGACAGUCUCAUUUAGCCCAAGCAGACCUCAAGCUCAUUAUGUAACCAAGGAUGGCCUUGAACUUCUGCCUCUACCUCUUAAAUGCUGGGAUUAUAAGUGUGUACUGCCACUCCAGUUGAUAGAUGAGCUGACCUUAGCACAUGCUUCCUGCUGGUGGUUUUCCUGUUUUCACCCAUUGUAUCUUUGUUGAGAGAGGGUCUUGUGUAGCCUGAAUAGACUUGAACUUACUAUGGAGCCAAAGCAGACCUUGGACUCCUGAUCCUCCUGUCUCUACUUCCAAGUGCUGAGAUUAUAUGGCCCCCAUGCCCAGCCUGAUUGAUUGCUAUUAAUGUACAGCCCAGAAAUCAGUGAUAGGAAUCCAUCUAAGAACUGAGCUGUCGGCUGAUUUUGUCUUUGUGUGAACAUUACAGAGUGUGCCUCCACAAACGAAGAUGUCUGUGCUGUCAUUACAUGAUUACUUUUAUGGAGCCACAAUCACAUACGAAGUCUGUCACUGUCCAAAAUGUCACUGCGCACCAUGUUUUAAAAAAUAGUUGGCUUUUUCAUUAGAUAUGAUUAAUAUAAAAACGGAGGAAAUUGUCAAAAUUUACACACUUAUAAAGAAAGGGUGUCAGUCACUUGUGCAGAAUGCUAACUACCUUUGAAGUGUUGUGAGCAUAGUAGUGCCACUGCAGUAAGGACCCGUGUUCUGAGGGGAGGGACCAGUGACCACUCUAGGGCAGUAAAUCAUUAAACAUAUACACAUGACUCCCCUUCCAUCCCUAUGCAUCCCCAAGCUGCUUCCUACCUGGAGAUGAUGCUGAGCUGGCUGCUCAUGGUUUGAAUCUGUUCCACCAUACACAGAAGCUCCUGAGAGCAUCUCUGAUCUAUGCAGUUCUUAGCAAUGAUGUGAAUGAGUCUGGUGAAGUCUUUUCCAGAAGCUGAGACUUUCCUGGCAGAGGCAAUGAGCUGAUCUUUGGUCUAUAUCAGAGAUAAAAAUGUUAAAAGUAGGAAAACCCUGGCUUCAUAAGUUUCUCCUGAGACUCCAGGGACAAAUCACAAUGCUUGCCCCAAGCUUUCUUGGCUCAACCUACUUCUGCAUGAAAGUGUACUCAUUUUAGCUUGAGCCAGCUCUAAGAGCUUUUUCUCUUGCAUUGGAAAAAACCUGGCUGAACAAGAAACAAUCUCCUUCCUUGUGUGGGGGCUGAGGAAAGCCAGGCCACCCAGCUUCCAUUUAGUACCAAAAUUUUAGUACUGUUAAGAUAUUCAUGUGGAUUGUACAAGAUGCAUAGAUCAGCUAAGGAUGAAAUUUUGCUCUUUGUUUAAGCAGGUGAAAGACAACUGUCUUUUUGUGAGUUAAUUUUAUCAAUAACCAAUUGUAAUAAAUCUUCAUGUCAUAUGAAGAAGGGUGUGAAGAAUCUUAAGGAUUCCAUAGCCAACAAAAUUUAUUGUCUCAUGUUAGCUGAAGCUUUGGCUAGAGACAUUUUUAUGUCAAAGCCAGUUACUGGCUGUUCCCUUGUCGAGGACUCAGCAGAUCAAGUUACCUAUCCUGUUCGAUUUUCUCAAAUUUUUCUUUUCUGUAGCCAAGAUCUUCAGGGGGUCUUCCCCCCGUCAUAUCCGAUCCAUAUCACUCUGGAAGGGGUCCAAAGUCUUAUCUCAUUUCCUGUCAACACAAAUACAGAGCCUCUCUCCCAAAAAAGCAUGUUCUUGGUCUAGUAACUGAAAAUCACUAAAGGUAUAGAAUGAAAUUAAUAGUAUGACAUCUCCCCCAAAGGAUUUUUAAUAUCAUAAAUACCAUCAAACUUAUAAUCAUCUUCAUCUUGAUAAUUAAACGACUCAAAGCAACUAAAGCAAUUAAACAAAUAUUAUCUGUUGAGAUAGCGCUCCUCCACUAUCUCCUGGAUUUGUUUUUUUUUUUAUAUGAUUAAUUUUUAAUAGUGAGAUCAAGGCCUAUGUUUCUAUGUCUGAGAUGGGUUAGGCUUCCUACCCCCUGCUUUUCAAUCUAUAAUCAAAAGCAUCAAUUAUUUAUUCCUCUAAGUAUAUUUAAAUCCUUCCUUCUAUGGAGGUAAAUAUUUGUGUGGGUACAUAUGUCCCCUUCUCUUUAUGUAACAAGUUAACAUAAAUUUCUUUAUCUGUCUGAGAUAAUUUUUUCCACUUAUCCCCUGCUCUUUGACCUAUAAUUUAAGAUCAAAAGCCUUCAUAAUCUAUUCAUCUAUGCACUCAGCUUUAAUUAAAUUCCCUUCUACUUGCUGUAUAAGCCUAGUUUCAGGCUCUACUUUUGUCAUACCAAGUUGAACAAUCCCAGAAUUCCUGUGUAGAAUCUGAGUAUUUGCCGUGGCAUAGACUUUUUCAAAUUUCUUAUAAUAUAUUUUCCUCAUUCCUUUUAUUCUCCCUCCUUGCCUUUAUUUCCUACAUUUGAGAUCAAAGGCCCCGACUUCUUUAUUCCAUACUUAAGAACAUUUAAGCAAUUACCGUUAUACUCCUGUCUAUCCUUAAAAACAAUUAAAUCAAAAUUUAUUUCUCCCUAACCUUUGAUUAUUUGCUUGUAGGAAGCAGGCAGUGUCCACUGUCUGAAUCUCUAUCUCCCGAGCAGCCUGUCUGUCUGGACAGCAUGGAUUCCCAGAACCUGAGGUUAAGCUCUCUGGGGCAGCUAGGAACCUUGAGAAGGGCCCAGACACUGUCUAGGGAUGACAGUGAUGACCAACCUCCUACUACCAUGACCUGAAGAAGAUCAAGUACCAGGACUUGCCCACUCUUCCUCAAGCUCCGAGCCAUCAGGAGCACCUCAGUGGCCAUCUCUUGUGUGAUCUGGGUGAUUCUGUUCUCACUGUCUGCACUGCUGUCCUCUGGAGCAGGCUGGUCCAUCUGAGCAGGAGGCAGAGAUAGGCUGCCACUCUGGUGCUGAAAGAAGGCAUUGGGUUAGAGGUUUCGAGCAACACAAUUCCUAAUACCAAGGCCUCUAAACUGCAGUGAGGAUGUUAAUUGCCUCUGUGUGUAUGUGUGUCUCUGUGUGUGUGUGUGUGUGUGUGUGUGUGUGUGUGUGUCUGUCUGUCUGUCUGUCUGUAUGUAUGUGUUUGCACACAGGUGGAGGCCAGUGUUCCUCAGGAGCUGUCUACUUUGUUUUUUUGAGAUAGGACCUACCAUUGGGCUGGAACUCUCUGAUAAGGUUAGGCUAGCCAACUAGGGAUUUGCCCAUUUCUCCCUCCCCUGUGCCAGGAUUGCAAGUGUGUAACACAUCUGUGAAUCCGGGUUUUAAAUCUGUUUGUGCAGUAGGUACUUUAUCAACUGAGCCAUCCCCUAGUCUCUUAAUGGGUUUUAAAAUCAUUUUAAAAGAAAGACGCAGGGAAUCAGAUGGUGGUGGGCAGAGGCUUUUUCUAGAUAGCACCACUGUCCAGCCUGUCAGGAGUUGAGGAGACAGGUAGGUUAAGAGGAGGAGGAGGAGGAGGAGGAGGAGGAGGAGGAGGAGGAGGAGGAGGGGGGGGGGGGGAGGAGGAGGAGGAGGAGGAGGAAGAGGAAGAAGAAGAAGAAGAAGAAGAAGAAGAAGAAGAAGAAGAAGAAGAAGAAGAAGAAGAAGAAGAAGAAGAAGAAGAAGAAGAAGAAAAUAAUCGAGAGUUGUUGAGCAAGAAUUUAACAGCAGUGACUAAUGACCAUGGAGAAGGGACAUGAUGGUCUGGAGUUAGGAGUGAGUGUGCAGGUGAGAAUGAGGCUGGCCUCCAUAAGCUCAUGUGUUUGAAUACUUAAUACAAGUUAGUGGAACUUGUGGGGGAAUGGUGAGGAGGUGUGGGCUUGUUGAAGAUGUGUGUAUUUCACUAAAUGUGUCACUUUUGAGGUUUCAAAACAUUCCUAGCGUGCUCUCUGCCUCCUACUUGCAGAUCAAGAAGUGAGCUCUCCAAGGUUUUUGUCACCAUACCUAUUCACUCAUGGACCCUAACCCUCUAAAACCAUAAGGCCAAUUAAAUACUUUCUUUCUCAAGUUGAUUUGGUCAUGAUGUUUAUCUCAGCAAUACAAACCCCAACUAAUAUGGUGAGGAAACUAGGAAAUGGCCUUUUAGACAACUACUAGAGAGUCUAAGCAUCCAGAUCUAGCCAUGACAGCAAGCUUUGUGUUAGAGAUUCCAGAAGUGAAGUACUUCCUGCUGGUGUCCUUUCAGGAGUGAGAAUGGGGCUUAAAGAGUGUGGUGUUCUCUUGUUCUCAGAGUUUCUGACCUGAGUGGCCAACACCAUCCUGCUCUGUAACCCUCCUUACAGCUAUGGGAGACGCUUCUGGUGCAUUGACAGAAACAGAAGGCAAGUAAGUGAGUGGGUGACUCUAAGUGUGUGCUUAAGACUCUAUGGAAAACUAGAGAUGAGGAGAAGGAGCCUGCAAGCUAUUCACAUUUAUAAGACUGAGAGAUGAGCAGACAAGCCUAGAGCACUGGGGAACGCUAUGUUAUUCUCCCUGUUACUUUGGUCACAGGGUCCCCUUUUGUGGAAGUGACAUUUUGGUGAGAAAAAAGUAAGAAAGGAUAAUAAGGGCAAGGGUAAAAGCAUGGCGUGGUGUGAUCAGAAUUAUAUUGGGAAACACCCUAUAGAGUUUUGGAAUCUUCUGUAGAUGAGGUGACUCAUCUAUAAAAUCCUGGCUUGUCGUGUGAAGAGAAUUCUGAGUGCUUGCGAGAAAACCCCAAGAAAAGCAAAACAAGAGUCUUGUGGCCUUGGUUUCUUCAAAAACGCAGAAUUGUCCCUGGAAUGUGAUUUCUUGCUCCUCAGUGGAGAGGCAAGAAUUACUCAUUACAAGUGGCCACUGUUACAGGUUUGCAUGCCUCUAUGAAAAAGCACGAUUGUGCCCCCUGUAGCUUGUCCUUGUACUUGUAUAGAGCUAGAGCACAUGAGGACUUACUCAUGCGACCUUCUUAGCCCUCAGAGUAUAAACUGUCUGAUGCUCUAAAUAAAGUUAGCUAGUGCCUGAGACUUUAUGACUUUGGUUAUGGUCAGAAGAAAUACACAAAAUAUUUCAAAUCCU